UCCUGGGCGAGAGGGGCGGCCGCCUUGAGCCCGCUCCCCGGAGGCCCGAGGAGAGGUCGAGCCGCCCCGCGCCCCGCGCCCUUCCUGCCGGGGCCCGCCCCGUCUGUCCCCGACCCCUGCGCAGCCCUCCCCGCCUGCCCCAGAGGCUGCCCCGCCAGCUCUCGUAAACCAGCCCCCAGGGGGUGUCCACGGUGCUGCCGCCUCUUCACUGGCAUUUCGGUGCCGGCGGUCACUGGCUGCUCCCAUGUGAUUCUCAAGCCUGAGCCCCUUCCAGCAGCAGGAAGGUGUGUGUAGGCGGGGGAAGAGAAAGCGAACCCCCAGGGAAAGAGGGCAUGGUUCGGCUGAGUUUUUCAGAGCUGGGGAGAGGGCAGGAGGUAGAUGCGGAGGCAAGGAGCACCGUUCUCAGUCUUCCCCUCAUUCUUUGAACUUUACUGAGCACCUACUACGCGCUGUGAUAGAGGCUUCAGAACCCAGUAAGACAUGAACCGGCUCCCGAUGGGAGCGCAGUGUUGGGGGCUCCGGUUUGAAUCCUGGCUUCACCCCUCUCAAAGCUGUGGAAUCUGGGACCGAGGACCCGCUGUCUCUAGGUCACGAUGCCAUCACGAUGUAAUGGCAACACAUCUGGACAGGACAUUAUGGAACAAGAACACACAACUCUGCUUGGGCAAGGGCCAGAGGAGAGGCUCGGGAGACUUGCCCGGGGAAAGCCCUGACUCUGGAACCAGGAAGUUACCCAGAGGCACAUUUGGGGUCAGCGGGAAGAACUCUAACAGGCAGAUUUGCCCAUGGUGGACAGGGCCAGCCUCGUGCAGUAAUGAGCUCCCUGUCACUGAAAGCGAGCAAGUAGAGGCUGGAGCGCUGUUACUAAAGAUGUGGCAGAGGCUGGGCAGGACGGCCUCUGAGAUCCCCUGGCCCAGUGUCAGGCCUGGGCCUCAGGUGAGGCCUUGAUGAGCCGGAGCUCACUGUGGAGCCCCACGGUGGGUGUCGUGAUCACCGUGAACAUUUGCCUGGUGCUUCUCUGGGUUGCUAGGCUUUCACAUACGCCUUGGCUCAUCCCAUUUUUGCCCACCCCCCCCCAGGGGUGUCCCCAGAACAGAGCAAGCAAAACCCCCCCAGGCCACAAUGCUCAGAGAAGCAAGCAAACAGCCAAGGACGUUUCCCCUGGGCAAGAGGACACGGGGUGAGGAUACUUCCGCUUUUCAUUUUUUAUCUCUCUGGAUUGUGGGAAAUGCUCACAAUGAGCUGCACAAAAUUACUUCCACAAUUUUUUUGAAUGGCUAAAAAUAGGCAAUGGAAAAGGAUGGGAAAACAGUAUGGAGGUUCCUCAAAAAGUUAAAAAUAGAACUACCCUACAACCCAGCAAUUGCACCUCUAGGUAUUUACCCAAGGGAUAUGGGGGUGCUGAUUUGAAGGGGCA